rnacentral:rRNA from 1 species
CCUACGGGGGGCAGCAGUGAGGAAUAUUGGUCAAUGGACGAGAGUCUGAACCAGCCAAGUAGCGUGAAGGAUGACUGCCCUAUGGGUUGUAAACUUCUUUUAUAUGGGAAUAAAAUGUUCCACGUGUGGGAUUUUGUAUGUACCAUAUGAAUAAGGAUCGGCUAACUCCGUGCCAGCAGCCGCGGUAAUACGGAGGAUCCGAGCGUUAUCCGGAUUUAUUGGGUUUAAAGGGAGCGUAGGUGGAUUGUUAAGUCAGUUGUGAAAGUUUGCGGCUCAACCGUAAAAUUGCAGUUGAAACUGGCAGUCUUGCGUACAGUAGAGGUGGGCGGACUUCGUGUUGUAGCGGUUCAAUGCUUCGCUAUCACGAAGAACUCCGAUUGCGAAGGCAGUUCACUGGACUGCAACUGACACUGAGGCUCGAAAGUGUGGGUAUCAAACAGGAUUAGAUACCCCAGUAGUC